rnacentral:rRNA from 1 species
UGAACCUCGGAUCAGGUAGGGAUACCCG